rnacentral:lncRNA from 1 species
AUUUCGGUCAUUUCACACUUUGAUCCUAUCUAUUUCAGUCCAGCACGACUCCUGGGGCUCAGUGGAGGUUGCUGGAGACCAGAGGAGGGUUCUCCACCAUUUCUCUCUUUCUCUCUCUAGGGUUUUUCUCUCUCUACAUCGAAUUCGCCGAUUUCGCUCGUUUUCGUCGCCGCGCGCGUUCUUCGCUGGUUGCGAGCGUCGCAGCACCUUUGUGCACGUGCAAGAGAGCGUUUUGGACGGGUU